AUGUCAUGUGCUGUUGGUGUGACGUUGUCUGUGAUGAGUUGUAUGGGUUUUGCCAUCCCACCAUCUCCCAUACAACUCAUCACAGAUGACCUCACACCAACAGCAUGUGACA